GACGAACGCUGGCGGCGUGCCUAAUACAUGCAAGUCGAGCGAAUCUCUGAAGGAGCUUGCUCCUGAUGAGGUUAGCGGCGGACGGGUGAGUAACACGUAGGCAACCUGCCUGCAAGCCUGGGAUAACAUCCGGAAACGGAUGCUAAGACCGGAUACGCAGCUUGGUCGCAUGACCGAGCUGGGAAAGACGAAGCAAUCUGACGCUUGCGGAUGGGCCUGCGGCGCAUUAGCUAGUUGGUGAGGUAACGGCCCACCAAGGCUACGAUGCGUAGCCGAACAGAGAGGGUGGACGACCACACUGGGGCUGAGACACGGCCCAGACUCCGACGGGAGGCAGCAGUAGGGAAUCUUCGACAAGGGACGCAAGCCUGAUGGAGCAACGCCGCGUGAGUGAGGGAGGCCUUCGGGUCGUAAAGCUCUGUUGCCAGGGAAGAACGCCUAAGAGAGUAACUGCUCUUAGGGUGACGGUACCUGAGAAGAAAGCCCCGGCUAACUACGUGCCAGCAGCCGCGGUAA
rnacentral:rRNA from 1 species